GAUUAAAAACAAACCUCUCACGCUAAGCUACCCACACACACCUGAGAUGCGGGAGCCAGUCUUCAAUUACCAGGAACAGUGACCACAUUUCAGGUUCACUCAAGAUCCCUGUGCCCGCCCACUGCUUCCUUGUGGUCUCUGGAGUCUCGCAGGAUUCUUUAUCUCCAGCCCAGCGCAGUGGGCUUGGCCACGUGAUCUGGCAUGGCCUACGGCAUGUGAACCAGCACGUUUCCUCUGGCUCUGUCUUCCCUCAGCCACCAACCCAGCACGUCUCAAAUAGGGGCCGUUCCUCUGGCCUAGAUCUCAGAACACAAAGACACAGAGCUCAGGAAUAGGUCUGAGGCCCAUUUGCCCCAGAUACAGAAUAUGGACGAGAAAUAAACUGUUCUUGCAAGCCCCGAGACUGGGGGGGUGGUGGGGGGGAGGGGUCUGUUGACCUCAGAACGGCUGGCUAAAACAGAAAUUAUUGUUUUAUUUUUGUUGUUUUUUUGUUUUGCUUUGCUUUGCUUAUUGGAUCAAAUUGUGACUUCAAUCAAAGAGAGUCCAGAAAAUUUUUCUCAAAAAAAAAAAAAAAAAAGUCAGUAGAUAAAAAUGGCAAGUCUCCACAAUAGAUUUCUCACUACAGGUUAAAGCUGGCCUACCAGUGACAAAGACCUCGUGGACACCUAGUGGAUGUAAUCGAGAGAGCUGUUUUUUCUCCUCCAUCUGCUGACUGUGUCCUUUGACUAAACUUCCCAGACAGCAAGGAGCCCCUGUGCCUGGCUAAUUCACCCUUCCCAGCUCCCUCCUAAGCAGCCAGAAUUUACCUUAGCCAAGCCCUACGAUCCAGUAAAACAAGCAGUUUCUCAUUUUAAAGGGAAUUCCUUAAUGCAAAUUUCUUUGUAGUUUACUCCCAGGCUUGCUGAUUCUCUUCUUUCCUGCUCUUUGUGGGGAGGGAAUGGCUUUUAGAAAACUAGCUUAUGAGAAUCAUCAACUGUCACAUGGAAACCUUUCUGAACACAUCAGAGGGGAUUUUUAUCUCCUCUCUCGGUCCAAAGCACUGUGGUCUUUCCCAGUGGUGCUCAGUACGGGGCCACUGUCAUUAACCUCUCUUGGUGUCAUGAGCUGGUCCAACCUGCUAGUGGGAGAAGUCAAAGUGGGGAAACCAGAGAGAAGUCAGCACAUAACAAUGUCUUGUCAUGUGACACACCAGGGAAACAGGAGAGAGGGGUGUUUGGAGACAGAAGAGUGAGUGUGCAUGAGAGGCAGGGGCAUCACUUGGGCGAUCAGGUAAGAGACACCUGAGGAGCGCAGUCACGGUGAGGCCUGAAGGACAGAGACUGUGUAAUGCGUGAGAUGUGCUCAUGGAAAGCCCUGAUGGGGAAGAGAUGAGAGCAUUUCAGUUGCUCAGUGAAGCAAUGUGAUGUUUCUCUUGUUCUCAACAGUUCAGUGAAAGAAAGAGAAACACGAGACUGAGUUUGUCUUCCUUAGGGUUCUAUUGCUGUGUAGAGACACCAUGACUAAGGCAACUCUUAAACUCUUUUAAUUGGCUUAUAAUUUCAGAGGUUUAGUCCAGUAUCAUCAUGGUGGGAAGCGUGGCAGCGUCCAGGCGACAUGACGCAGGAGGAGCUGAGAGUUCUAUAUCAUCAUCUGCAGGUAGCAGAAGGAGACUGAGUACCACACUGGGUGUGGCUUAAGCAUAUAUGAUCUCAAAGCCCGCCUCUACUAUGACACACUUCUCCAAUGAGGCCACACCUCCUAAUAGUGCCGCUCGCUACGGUGGAGCAUUCAAACACAGGAGUCUAAGCUGUUCCUUCCUAUUCAAACCACCACGGAGUUGAAGAGCAAACAAACCCAGACCUCAGGGAGCUUUAGAGGUUUUGAUCUUAUUCUGAGAGGAAUAAGAAGACAUGGAAGGAUUUUAAGGAAGGAAGUGGUGUGCUCUGUUCUGCAAAUGAUCAAAGAUAUGUGGGAUGGAAGAAAUGGAGAGAGAGAGAGAGAGAGAGAGAGAGAGAGAGGAAGCAGACAGAGGAAAUGUCUGAAAGGGAGAAGAGGUGAGAGUGUGAAGAGGAAGUGGAAACAUAGGAGGCACAUCCUGGAGUAAAAAUGAAUGAGCCAGCGGGUGGAAGCUGGGUGUGGUGGGAAACCAUGAAGGAAGGCUAAUACAUCUGUCCUGCAGGACGAAGGUGCUGAUGCAGUCUAGAGAGAGGGAGAGAACUGGAGGAAGAUCCUGGCAAAGCAUGAAGGCAGAGAUGCUACUGUGUACAAUAAAUCUAAGACACCUGGGAGAUAACUAGCCCAAAAUGUCAGGGGUGCAGUUGGACGUGCAGGGCUGUGAGUUCCAGGAGCCCGGGGGAAACGGUAAACUUGGGAAUGGUCACCUUUAGGUGAGGAGAACAUUCUCACGGGAAGAUGGCACUGCACAAUGUCAAAGCCAGGGAGCAAGGAAGUACUGUGAAAGAAAGGGUGGUGUAAAAAAUAUAGAAGCAGAUAGAGAUAAUAGAAAAGAGCUUUUGCGAAGAUGGUUGUGAAAGCAAUGAAGGAAGCUCCUGCCCUCCCAAAGCUGAAGCAAGGGAGAAGGCCUUGAAAGCCAAGAAGGCACUGUCACAAAAUGAAGAUCCUCACACAUCACCAGUCUUCAGGUGGCCCAAGACUCCAUCUCCAGAUGCAGCUGAAGUCCCCUCUGAAGCGCUCGCCCAGGAGAAACAAGCAUGAGCACUAUGCCUUCAUCCAGUUCCCCUGACCACAGAGCCAGCCAUGAGGAAGACAGAGAUAACAGCAUGCUUGUGUUCACUGUGGAUGUCAAGGCCAGCAAGCACCACACAGGCCGUGAUGAAGCUCUGUGGCGCUGAUGUGGCCAAAGUCAUCACCUCGAUGAGGUCUGAUGGAGAGAAGGGCGAAUGAUCAGCUGCAUCCUGAUUAUGAAGUGUUGGCUAUUGCCAACAAAAUUGGGAUUAUCUAAACAGAGUCUAACAAAAGGAGAAAAGGAGAAGGAGGAGGAGAAGAGGAAGUAGAAGUACAAGGAGGAGAGGAGGAAGAGAAGAUGGAGAAGGAGGAGAAGAAAAAGGAGGAAAGGAAAAAGAAGGAGGAGAAGGAGGGGAAGAGAAGGAAGAGGAAGAAGGAGAAGAAGAAGAAAAAGAGGAAGAAGAGGAAGGUGGAGGAGGAGGAGGAGGAAGAGGAGGAGGAGAAGGAGAAGGAGGAGAAGAAGAAGAAGAAGAAGAAGAAGAAGAAGAAGAAGAAGAAUGUUGUUGUUGGUAGUGGUAGUAGUAGUCGCCGCUGCCACUCAAGUAGCCAAAAAUAUUUAUUACAAAAAUAAGAAGAGUAAUUUCAGUGGAACUCAGCAGUCACUAUCUUGAGCAAGGGUCCAAGGUCAACACUGUCAACAGUACGAUGAAUCACAAUCCUCCGUCACCUGAUGCACACACUGAGAACACAAAGAGGACACAGUGAUGAACUCAAUUGCCUCUCGUGAACUGAACCACUGGAAGAGACACAUCUGUAAAGUGAUUCCAUCUGACAAAAAAACCUGACCUGUAGUCCACAGAGGCGUCAGGAUCAUGGAUGGACUGAAGCCACACUCACCAGCAAGCAUGGAUCUUACAGACGGUGGUGAAUGGAUACUGAGACAGUGGAGCUGGGGCAGAGAGUCAUGGCCCGAUGUUAGGCUCUAACACCCGUGUUGGGGCAUCCAGGGCACGUCACACACUCCUGCUACAGCCACUCCAUGAGGGCUCAGCUCUGCCAUUUAUUAAGAUACAUACGCCAUAUGCAAUUUAGAAGUUACUGAAUUGCUGAUUAGUUGUUUACAUGUCUUGAGUGCUGACUGUGUACUGGGUACUGUGUUGGCCAUUGUAGACACACUUGAUCCUUCUGAAACAUCCACAGCCUGUGGAGCAGGGACCAGUCCAAUUCCCUCCAUGUUUCCCCAUGUGUAAACUCAAGCAUCAUGGCUUAUUCAAGCCGACGGCCAACAAACGGGAACACGUUUUCAUCUAGGCCAUCUCCAGAACUUGCUCAUUUAGUGUCCAAACUCAGCUCUCCAGCACUGCUUUCCCAAAUACGUUGUUAGAAUUUGGGGUGUGUGAGGGUUUCUCUGUGAUUUCCCACAGUACUUAGUACAGCCCUUUAGAAAUCAACUCUUCUUCUAUUUUCCCUCUUGAUUUACUUAUUUUUAUUUUAUUACAUUAUUGUUUUCCCUGCAUUUAUGUCUGUAUGAGGGUGUUGAACGCCCUGGAGCUGGAGUUACAGAUGGUCUGUGAGCUGCCAUGUGGGUGGCUGGGAAUUGAACACAGGUCCUUCAGAAGAGCAGUCAGUUCUCUUAACUGCUGAGCCGUCUCUCACCUUUAAUUUCUCACCCUUACUCACUUUUAAUAGAACCAUCCAAUGUGUACCACACUGAUUUUUUUUCUUUUUUAGUCUUUCAAUCCUGUAGAGACUCAGUUUUUAGUUAUAAGAAAAAGGUCUUCAAAAAGACAUUUGAACUAGAAAAAUUCAUGGCAGAUCCAAAGCUGAGAGACUUAUAUCAAGAAUACCACAGCAAUCUGGAGUAGAGUAAGAGGGUCACUCGCUUAGGCACAGCCUACCUGGAUUAUAUCUAACCACUAACAUACAAAAGUCUCAAAAAUCCAGGCUUAGGUCUGACUCUCCCCAGCCAGUUUGCAUGCGCUGUACUCAAUAGGCACUGUAACUUCAGAGUUAGGUUUCUUUCUCUACAUCUUAUUUUACUCAAGUGUCAUUUCAUUUAUUUUCCAAUUUUCGGGGUUUUUAACUUGCAAAUAAACAAAGGUAGAACAUUUAAGAGCAACUGUAUGAACCUGUGGGGGAAAAAGAAAGAAAGAAAGAAAGAAAGAAAGGAAGGAAGGAAGGAAGGAAGGAAGGAAGAAAGAAAGAGAGAAAGAGAGAAAGAAAGGAAGGAAGGAAAAGCUGAUUUUUUUUCUCCCCUAUCUGGUGUUUACCAACCUCAAACUGUAAGUUUUGAGGAGAUUAGGAAUUUUGUCUUUCUCUUGAAAACCUAGAGCUUCAUCAUACUGAGAUACAGUACCAUACAGCAUUAGACUUCUCCUCUUUAAUGUUAACCAGGUGUAUGGUGCACAGAAAAUAGAGCCGAGGUCAGUAAGCAGAACCCAGCAGAAGCUAAUAACCCUGCCGCAGAAUACUGAAAGAAGAUGGUCACGAGUCUCAGUGUUUCCUUCUGGCCAUGAACAGGAAAUCCAUGUUUAAGUGUAGUGAAUAGGAUUUGAAGCCAGGGCGGUAGCAAUGUGUGAAGCUAUAGCAUUUGCCUAGCACCCGUGAAGCACUGGGCCUGAUCAUCAGCACUGCAAAAGAAAAAAAAAAAAAGAGUCUAAAGAUAAAUAUUCCUACAGUUGAAACUGCACAUCAGAACCUGCUCAGUUCAGGAAGAUGAAACAGAAAAUAAAAAAAUAACAUGAAGUCACAAGAAAGAAAAAAAAAACAGGAAAAAAAAAGACAACGUCUAAUAAAUAUUAAAUGAUGUUCAACACAACUGCCUGUUAGGAAAGUGUGAAUCAAAAGCAUGAAAUACCACUUCACAUCAACUGGGAUAGUGUAUUGGUUUUCCUGAGCCUGCCCCUAUAAAAAUGUCACAGACUUGGUGCCUUAAAUGUCAGCCACAGCUGUGGAAGCUGGAAGUGCAAGACCAAGUCAUGAGCAGGCUUUGGUUGUCCUAAGACUUUUCUCACUGGCUUGUAGAUGACCGGCAUCUUGGCUUGUCUUCAUAUGUCCUUAUUCCUAUUCCUGUGCACGAUGCUGGAUCUUUAAGAGUGUUUUUAAGAACACUGUCUUGGUGGAUUAGGGCCCAUCCUUAUGAUCUUGUUUAAUCUUAACGUCCUGUAAGGUUCCAUCUCUAAACACUCAUGGGGAAUCAUAGACAAAUUUAUUUUACAAUAUGAGCUUUUAGGGAGUCACAUUUAAGUACGCAACAGAUGACAGUAGCAAGAGUUGUGAAGAUGUGGAAGAGAAUGGUCCUUGUGGUCUGCUCUCACACUGCUGGCGGGGCUGUGAAAUGGAUGAUACAAACACUCUGGAAAGCCAGCCGUCUCAGCAUCCCAGAAGGUAAAGCCCAGCAUAACAACUUCUGUAUCCGCCUUCCACUCGGAAGAAGUUGCCAUGGAGAAGUGACUGAUGCAGACAGCCGAGAGCAAGUGCAGGAGGAGCACAGGAUGAUUAGAAUAGACAUGGGGUCUGAUACAUGUGUGGAUGAGGUUGAGUUACGCAUAAAACUUUGAAACUAUGUAUGGAAGAUAGAUCAACUUUCAUAAAAAAAAAAAACAUAAAACACAAAAGAUUCCUCAGAAACAGAAAACAGAAUAGUCUAGUAGCCGGAAAAAAAAUACAAAGUACUAAAGAAUAUGAUUAAACACUCCAGAGUCAGUCAAAAUCAACUACGCCUUCCUGGGACACAGGGCUUCCUAAUCCCCAGGCAUCCAUGCAGACACCAUGUUCUGACCAUUGUCACCCUCUCCUGUCUCCCACAACUCAACCAGUGCCCUAGCUCCAGCCUUGCCUUCCUUUCUAGCAAUGAGUGAGAUCCCUCUAAUAAAGAAAUAGAGUCUUGGCUCUUCCCUGCUUAAACUC